rnacentral:rRNA from 1 species
CACCGCCCGUCACACCAUGGGAGUGGGGUUCACCAGAAGCAGGUUGCCUAAUCGCAAGGAGGGCGCCUACCACGGUGAGCUUCAUGACUGGGGUG